UAAAUCGAUAGAGGCGCGGGCAAGAUGAGCCUUGGCAAAGCCGGCAGGCGUUUGAUGCCAGGGGGAGGUGCGCUCGCCGAACUUAUGCGUCAGGCAUGGCGCGUGGGUGGGCUUGCGGGGAAUACCCUCAAGACUGUCCGCAGCAACGCUGCGGGUGCGCUAUCUUGCUG
rnacentral:ncRNA from 2 species